GCAGAAAAGAUAUCUAAAGAUGAAAAUGGGCCGCCUGCCUCUGCAGCCCAAGCAGUACUGCCAGUGUGAGCGGCCAGCAGCUGCAGAAAAACCGCGGCAAGGACGUCGGAGAGAGAAGCCGAAAGCCCCCCCUCCCGCAGCCGCUGCUAAUGUAGAGACAUGAAAGACAGAUGGAAGAAAGGCGAGGAAGAAGUGAGAGCAAGGGGAAGAAGAGAGCGUGAAAGUGUGAAUACGGCAUGAAUGUAAAUGGUCUUUUGAAUGCUCGAGAUUAAAAUAAAAA